rnacentral:rRNA from 1 species
CAGCCGCCGCGGGAAUACGUAGGUGGCAAGCGUUGUCCGGAAUUAUUGGGCGUAAAGGGCUCGCAGGCGGUUUCUUAAGUCUGAUGUGAAAGCCCCCGGCUCAACCGGGGAGGGUCAUUGGAAACUGGGAAACUUGAGUGCAGAAGAGGAGAGUGGAAUUCCACGUGUAGCAGUGAAAUGCGUAGAGAUGUGGAGGGACACCAGUGGCGAAGGCGACUCUCUGGUCUGUAACUGACGCUGAGGCACGAAAGCGUGGGGAGCAAACAGGAUUAGAUACCCGGGUAGUCCCUGUCUCUUAUAC